UACGUAGGGUGCAAGCGUUAAUCGGAAUUACUGGGCGUAAAGGGCGCGUAGGCGGCCUUGCAAGUGGCGGGUGAAAUCCCUCGGCUUAACCGAGGAACUGCCUGCCAGACUGCAAGGCUCGAGACCGGGAGAGGUGAGUGGAAUUCCGAGUGUAGAGGUGAAAUUCGUAGAUAUUCGGAGGAACACCAGUGGCGAAGGCGGCUCACUGGUCCAUUACUGACGCUGAGGUGCGAAAGCGUGGGGAGCAAACAGG
rnacentral:rRNA from 1 species